UUGAUUAAACCGCGCCAAUCACAAAACAGAAUUAGUGGUUUGUACUAAAACCACUAAUUCUGUUUUGUGAUUGGCGCGGUUUAAUCAA